UAUGUUAGAUAUUAAUAUGUAAAUUGUUUAUAAAAAAAAAGGGGGUAUAAGUAAAUGGAAUAUUCUAGAAUUUAUUUAAUAUUAAAAUAUUAAGGAUUUUUGUAAUAAGUCAUAUAAUAUUAAUGAAUAAACUUGAAUAUUCUAGAAUUGCUAUUGAUAAAAAUAUCUAAGAUUUUAUUAGCAAAUAGCAUUAAAAUAUUUAUAAAGUGUUAGAUUUUUAUUGUAUAAGUUAGAUUUUUUAAUAGAUAAUCCAUGUAUAUAUAUAAGGAUAUGCUUAUGGUUUGGUAAUUUCCCUAUCUUCUCUCCCCUGCGUCUUUUCUCUUCUCUCCAUCUUCACCACUCAUCGAUUUACUGCAGCCAUCAAGUGCUAGGAGCGGUGCAUCCAAGGCUCGAGGAGGACAACCGAAGCAAGCUUGAAGAGGUUUGAAUUCAAUCACUUAAGGAGCGGCGCAUCCAAGGCUCGAGGAGGACAACCGAAGCAAGCUUGAAGAGGUUUGAAUUCAAUCACUUAAGGUGGGGUUUACUUUUAUCUGUAAGCGUAGUUGUUACAUGGUUAUAAUCAUUGUUGUGUUGUGCGUCAUUCAUAUGAACUAAUGGGACCCACAAGGGGUCGGAUCCACAAGGGAUCAAAGAGCUGAACGGCCCACAAGGGGUCAGGUCCACAAGGGACCGAGACUAGUCUCACAAGAUGUCAGCUAAGUGAAAAAUAUAAGAGUUCAACAUGUUAUGAUUCAUUACACAAUUGGUUAUAACUGCUUGCAGUGUUUACCCCACUGAGUGUGCUUGCACACUCAUACCCUAUUAUUUAUGAUUCU